UACGUAGGGUGCAAGCGUUGUCCGGAAUUAUUGGGCGUAAAGAGCUCGUAGGCGGUCUGUCGCGUCGGACGUGAAAAUCCAGGGCUCAACCCUGGACCUGCGUUCGAUACGGGCAGACUAGAGUUCGGUAGGGGAGACUGGAAUUCCUGGUGUAGCGGUGAAAUGCGCAGAUAUCAGGAGGAACACCGAUGGCGAAGGCAGGUCUCUGGGCCGAUACUGACGCUGAGGAGCGAAAGCGUGGGGAGCGAACAGG
rnacentral:rRNA from 1 species